CGGUCAUAAGCUUCAGUACCGUGAUGAAUAUAUACAACAGAUCAAUUCGUGCUUGGGGACAAUGAAGUCUCUGUGCAGAUGCAAAUACGCUGCGAGUUCACAUACUGAUCCCCCAAACGAUGCAAAAACCCUUUGAAAAAUGUAGCGAUUUUGUGUUAGAAGCCGUCGACGGGAGCACUCCAAACGAUGCAGAUUGUGAUUCCAUUUCGCACCGGUUGAAGAGACAGGUCCCCUAGAGUCUCUUUUCACUAGAGUUGUUGCUUCACGUAUGGAUCCAAAACCAAAAACAUAUGAUUUCCCUGUACAUAUAUUGUCUUUCUAAAUAUAAUUUUUCUUUUCCAAAA